rnacentral:tRNA from 1 species
GAGAGGUCUGCUGACAGCAAAGACUGCUAACUUUUGUACCCCUGGUUGAAUCCCAGGGCUCACUCGC